AGGCUUUGGGAUAACCCCGGGAAACCGGGGCUAAUACCGAAUAUGACCUUGCACCGCAUGGUGUUUGGUGGAAAGUUUUUCGGCUUGGGAUGGGCUCGCGGCCUAUCAGCUUGUUGGUGGGGUGAUGGCCUACCAAGGCGACGACGGGUAGCCGGCCUGAGAGGGCGACCGGCCACACUGGGACUGAGACACGGCCCAGACUCCUACGGGAGGCAGCAGUGGGGAAUAUUGCACAAUGGGCGGAAGCCUGAUGCAGCGACGCCGCGUGAGGGAUGACGGCCUUCGGGUUGUAAACCUCUUUCAGCAGGGACGAAGCGUAAGUGACGGUACCUGCAGAAGAAGCGCCGGCCAACUACGUGCCAGCAGCCGCGGUAAGACGUAGGGCGCGAGCGUUGUCCGGAUUUAUUGGGCGUAAAGAGCUCGUAGGCGGCUUGUCGCGUCGACUGUGAAAACCCGCAGCUCAACUGCGGGCCUGCAGUCGAUACGGGCAGGCUAGAGUUCGGUAGGGGAGACUGGAAUUCCUGGUGUAGCGGUGAAAUGCGCAGAUAUCAGGAGGAACACCGGUGGCG
rnacentral:rRNA from 1 species